rnacentral:lncRNA from 1 species
UGGUAUGGAGUGUACUAAGGCUUACUUUAGUAUUGAGAUUCAUACGGCACAAUUAGAUAAAAUAUAGUUGGAAUAAAAAUAUACAGUAAUAUAUUUCUGCAUUUUUCGGUUAGAUCGUAGAAAAUAUAUUGUAAUAUGCGAAACAUAAUAUUACGUACGAAAACAAUAAUGAUAUUUUCCUAUUACACUUUCUCACCGCACAUAACACAAUCCCUCUGCAAUUCCAGUGAAGCCUAAGUUGCCAAUACAGUGAGAUUUUUUAGAAAAAAGGAUAAUUGCCCAUAUAUCCUUCAAAACUUCAAAAAUAUCUAAUUUAUCCUCUCUUUUUUUUUUUCAAAUAUACCCCUCAUAUGUUCUUCCAGUAAUUCAAAUAUACUUCCGCAGUUACCACCCAUUAAGUUAUCUCGAGUUAAACAUGAGUUAAAUAUUUAUCAGAGUUUUAAAAAAAUCAAAAUAUUUUUUCGCCCUUAAUUUAAGGGCAAAUAAGAAAAGUUGGUGAUGAUAAAAGAAUAUAUUUGAAAAGAUAAAAAAAUAAAGUACUUAUUUUGUUCCUAACUUAAGGACAAAUGAAAAAAGUUGGUGAUGAUAGAAGAUUUGAAGGGCAAAAGGUUAAAAUAUCUCUUUUGUCUCUAACUUAAGGACAAAUGAAAAAAGUUGGUGAUGAUAGAAGAUUAUAUUUGAAAUGAUAAAAUAAUUAGUUUAUAGAGAUAACGGCUGUUACUAACCGUGUACUAAUAGAAAUUUAUCUAUAGGGUAUAUUUGAAAUAACUUGAAACGUUAAAAGAUUAAUUUUAAUAUUAGUCUUCUAAAAGUGAUAAAUCAGAAAGUCGAAAACUUUCCAGAAAUAUAUAAGCAAUUGCCCCUAAAAGGAAUGUACAGAGCUUUAUGUGAUUUAUAAACAAUUUUGAACGGGCGAUUCAACCUUUUAAAAUUUUAGUUUUGCUAUUUGAUCUUCCAAUUUGUUCUUGAACCCGCCAACGAUAUUUUUGGCUUCAGAAUUUAAACUAAUAACUUUUAUUUAAUUUAUAGUAAUGGGAAUUGCUUGAACUAUAUUAACUAAAAUAGUAAUGAUAAA